CAGAAUCUCUGACCUGAUGGCAGCAAGGAGAGGAGURAGUGUCUGUGGUGGUCGAGCUCUUUGAGGAUCUUCUCAGCCUGCAGAUGUCCUGCAGUUUAGCUGCCCAUUCAGGUGAUGAUGCUCCCACUGCAGAAGUUCCUGAGCACCUUGGAGUGCCUGAAGUCAGAGACGUCUGAGAUGAAAGAGACGCUGUCUGGCCUUUUUAACUGUUCUGUUAACAUGGAGUGACCAGGACACAUCCUGUGUAAUGGUCACUCCAGGGCAGGGGUCAUGGUACAUUUGACCUGGUCCUGACACUUUUUAGAGAGUUCAGCCUCUUCAGAAACCCUGGUCUCUUCAGAGUGCCCASCUUCUUUCUGGACCCUAGGCAUUUUCCUGGUUGUCUCAUCAUCACCAUAAGUGGCUUU